CCUACGGGUGGCAGCAGUAGGGAAUCUUCCACAAUGGGCGAAAGCCUGAUGGCGCAACGCCGCGUGGGUGCAGAAGGUCUUCGGAUCGUAAAACCCUGUUGUUCGAGAAGAAAGUGCGUGAGAGUAACUGUUCACGUUUCGACGGUAUCUAACCAGCAAGCCACGGCUAACUACGUGCCAGCAGCCGCGGUAAUACGUAGGUGGCAAGCGUUAUCCGGAUUUAUUGGGCGUAAAGGGACAGCAGGCGGUCUUUUAAGUGUGAUGGGAAAGCCUUCGGCUUAACCGGAGUAGUGCAUUGGAAACUGGGAGACGUGAGUGCAAAAGAGGAGAGGGGAACUCCAUGUGUAGCGGUGAAAUGCGUAGAUAUAUGGAAGAACACCAGUGGCGAAAGCGGCUCUCUGGUCUGUAACUGAUGCUGAGGUUCGAAAGCGUGGGUAGCAAACAGGAUUAGAUACCCUAGUAGUC
rnacentral:rRNA from 1 species